rnacentral:rRNA from 1 species
AUCUACGACCAUAGAAUCCAGAAAGCACCACGUCCCGUUUGCUCCGUGAAGUUAAGUUGGAUAUCGCUCGGCUAGUACCAAGGUGGGGGACCACUUGGGAAUCCCGAGUGUUGUAGUUUUUC